rnacentral:rRNA from 1 species
CCUACGGGUGGCAGCAGUGGGGAAUAUUGGACAAUGGGGGGAACCCUGAUCCAGCCAUGCCGCGUGUGUGAAGAAGGCCCUCGGGUUGUAAAGCACUUUCAGUGAGGAAGAACGCCUGGUGGUUAAUACCCAUCAGGAAAGACAUCACUCACAGAAGAAGCACCGGCUAACUCCGUGCCAGCAGCCGCGGUAAUACGGAGGGUGCGAGCGUUAAUCGGAAUUACUGGGCGUAAAGCGCGCGUAGGUGGCUUGAUAAGCCGGUUGUGAAAGCCCCGGGCUCAACCUGGGAACGGCAUCCGGAACUGUCAAGCUAGAGUGCAGGAGAGGAAGGUAGAAUUCCCGGUGUAGCGGUGAAAUGCGUAGAGAUCGGGAGGAAUACCAGUGGCGAAGGCGGCCUUCUGGACUGACACUGGCACUGAGGUGCGAAAGCGUGGGUAGCAAACAGGAUUAGAUACCCUUGUAGUC